CCUAACGGCUGAACCAGCAACUUGGAAGAAUGUAUAGCUAUUGCUAAUUGUUUCUCUUUUAAAUGAAACAAUAUCGAUUUGAUCGAAUAAAAUUCUGGGUAAAAUUAUGAUAAUGACAUUGUUUACCCAUGAGUCUUGACCAAGUUACGUGCCAGCAGUCGCGGUAAUACGUAGAAGACAAGUGUUAUUCAUCUUUAAUGGGUUUAAAGGGUACCUAGACGGUAUAUUAAGCCUAUAAAGGAACUGAUAUACUAGAGUUACUUAUGAGGAAGCUUUAAAGUACUAGAGGAGUAGAGAUGAAAUUCAAUAAUACCUUUUUUUGGAAAAAAAACUUCGGCACAGGUAUAGGUGAAAACAUCUUCUUAUGAGAUAACUGACGUUGAGGGACGAAGGCUUUUAAUCGUGAACAGGAUUAGAGACCCUGGUAAUGAAAGCAGAGAACGCUGAGUGUCAUAGAUUAGAUAAAAAUUUAUUCUAUAAAUGAAAGUGUAAGCACUCCACCUCAAGAGUAAUUUGGCAACAUUGGAACUGAAAUCAUUAGACCGUAUUUGAAACCAGUAGUGAUGUAUGUUGUUUAAUUUGAUAAUCCGCAAAGAACCUUACCACAACUUGAAUGUCUAUAUAUAUUAUUUUUAUAAUAUGUUUGUGUGUAGCUCUCUGUAUAACUUAGACUACAUGUUAUGAAAUAUUACGAAAACGAAAUUACAGAUACAAGUGUUGCACGGCUGUCUACAGUUAAUGUCGUCAGACUAUGGUUAGUUCCACUAAAUUAACGUAAACCCUUGCUCUAUUUUAAAAUAGAGUAGUUCUCCACUAUAUUGGAUAAGAUAACAGGGAACAAGACAAGUCAUCAUGGCCUUAAUGUUGUGGGCUAUAGACGUGCCGCGUGAGCCUUUACAAAAGGAUGUGAAAUUGAGAAAUUGAGCUAAUCCCACAAAACUGGCUAGAUCUUUUAUAU
rnacentral:rRNA from 1 species